AACGAACGCUGGCGGCAGGCCUAACACAUGCAAGUCGAGCGGACCUUUCGGGGUCAGCGGCGGAUGGGUGAGUAACGCGUGGGAAUAUGCCCUUCUCUACGGAAUAGUCCUGGGAAACUGGGGGUAAUACCGUAUACGCCCUUUGGGGGAAAGAUUUAUCGGGGAAGGAUUAGCCCGCGUUGGAUUAGGUAGUUGGUGGGGUAAUGGCCUACCAAGCCGACGAUCCAUAGCUGGUUUGAGAGGAUGAUCAGCCACACUGGGACUGAGACACGGCCCAGACUCCUACGGGAGGCAGCAGUGGGGAAUCUUAGACAAUGGGGGCAACCCUGAUCUAGCCAUGCCGCGUGAGUGAUGAAGGCCUUAGGGUUGUAAAGCUCUUUCAGCUGGGAAGAUAAUGACGGUACCAGCAGAAGAAGCCCCGGCUAACUCCGUG
rnacentral:rRNA from 1 species